rnacentral:rRNA from 1 species
CCUACGGGUGGCAGCAGUGGUGAAUAUUGGACAAUGGGGGCAACCCUGAUCCAGCCAUGCCGCGUGUGUGAAGAAGGCCCUCGGGUUGUAAAGCACUUUCAGUGAGGAAGAACGCCUGGUGGUUAAUACCCAUCAGGAAAGACAUCACUCACAGAAGAAGCACCGGCUAACUCCGUGCCAGCAGCCGCGGUAAUACGGAGGGUGCGAGCGUUAAUCGGAAUUACUGGGCGUAAAGCGCGCGUAGGUGGCUUGAUAAGCCGGUUGUGAAAGCCCCGGGCUCAACCUGGGAACGGCAUCCGGAACUGUCAAGCUAGAGUGCAGGAGAGGAAGGUAGAAUUCCCGGUGUAGCGGUGAAAUGCGUAGAGAUCGGGAGGAAUACCAGUGGCGAAGGCGGCCUUCUGGACUGACACUGACACUGAGGUGCGAAAGCGUGGGUAGCAAACAGGAUUAGAUACCCUUGUAGUC